UACGGAGGAUGCGAGCGUUAUCCGGAUUUAUUGGGUUUAAAGGGUGCGUAGGCGAGAUGCCAAGUCAGCGGUAAAAAUGCGGUGCUCAACGCCGUCGAGCCGUUGAAACUGGCGUUCUUGAGUGGGCGAGAAGUACGCGGAAUGCGUGGUGUAGCGGUGAAAUGCAUAGAUAUCACGCAGAACUCCGAUUGCGAAGGCAGCAUACCGGCGCCCUACUGACGCUGAGGCACGAAAGCGUGGGUAUCGAACAGG
rnacentral:rRNA from 1 species